UACCCAAUGAUAUCUCUAGAAGACAUCUGAAAGAGAUUAAAGAUUUAUCGGUGAUGGAUGGGGAUGCGUCUGAUUAGCUUGUUGGCGGGGUAACGGCCCACCAAGGCAACGAUCAGUAGGGGUUCUGAGAGGAAGGUCCCCCACAUUGGAACUGAGACACGGUCCAAACUCCUACGGGAGGCAGCAGUGGGGAAUAUUGGUCAAUGGACGAGAGUCUGAACCAGCCAAGUAGCGUGCAGGAUGACGGCCCUAUGGGUUGUAAACUGCUUUUAUAAGGGAAUAAAGUGAGUCUCGUGAGAUUUUUUGCAUGUACCUUAUGAAUAAGGACCGGCUAAUUCCGUGCCAGCAGCCGCGGUAAUACGGAAGGUCCGGGCGUUAUCCGGAUUUAUUGGGUUUAAAGGGAGCGUAGGCCGGAGAUUAAGCGUGUUGUGAAAUGUAGAUGCUCAACAUCUGCACUGCAGCGCGAACUGGUUUCCUUGAGUACGCACAAAGUGGGCGGAAUUCGUGGUGUAGCGGUGAAAUGCUUAGAUAUCACGAAGAACUCCGAUUGCGAAGGCAGCUCACUGGAGCGCAACUGACGCUGAAGCUCGAAAGUGCGGGUAUCGAACAGGAUUAGAUACCCUG
rnacentral:rRNA from 1 species